rnacentral:lncRNA from 1 species
AUCUGUCUCAAAUGUGGUGUCUGCUUCAGCCCUGCUGUCUCAGGCUGAAUUAUCAGAGCUGCAGAGGUGACCAGAGGGCUGGAUCAGCUUCCAGGCAGGGGACAGGGAGACACACAGAGACUCUUCUAGAACAGAGGAGUGUGGAACCAGUGGCAAGUUCUGAGAUCUCACUGCUCUCUCAGUGCCACAGCAGCAGACAGCAGGAGGGACAGUGA